AGUUCACUUGUCAACUAUCUCGAUAAGAAGUGGGUUUUUAGCAAACACAAUUUUUAUUAUAGAGUGAGUUUUCCGCAAAUGUUGGUGUAUGUUAUAAAGUAUAUUAGUAUUGAAAUUGUUUAUUGGCUUUAAUUAAGCCUCAAGUACGGCUCAUCAUCAUAGGUAUACUUAUCAGGAUUGAAGACGGACACUCGGAGAACUGUGAAACACGCUCUGUGAAAUUUCGUGUACAGUUUAAGGAUUCUGUGAGUGAUAUCCAGUAACCAGUGGACUCCAUUCACUGAGAAAUGAUGUCUUCAUGGAAUGCUCUGAUUCUCAUUUUUGGAGUUGUAUUCUUGAUUAAUGAAACGCACAGUAAGAACCCUGGUUUAAAGUCCAGGAUUACAUCAACAGGACUCAACUAUGCUGUGAAUGUUGCAUUAGAUGUUUUGUCCAAAGACAUAACAAGUAAAAAGAUCCCAGACCAACAUGGAAAAUCAGGAAGUGUGUCUUAUGAUGUGAAAGGGAUGAGAAUAACAAAGUUCACCAAACCAACAAGUGUUGUCUCCAUGGUCCCCAACACAGGACUAUUAUGGAAAAGCUCCGGAAUCGGCAUGAGUCUUCAUGGAGACUUUCAUUAUAAAUACAAAAAAGGAAUUAUUCGAAUUUCUGAUCAUGGAAGUUUUGAUUUGAACGCCGGAGGAAUUCAAUUCCAGAUAACGCUGACUAUAGGAAUGGAUACGUCGGGAAAACCGACAAUUAGAUCAUCGUCUUGUUCGUGUGCGGUGCAAUCCACCAGCAUCAAGUUUCACGGCGGGAGAGCGUGGAUAUACAAUCUGUUUCGCGGAAAGGUCGCUAAAACUCUGAAGAACUCCAUCGAAGGUGGCAGUGGAUUGCUUUGCAAACAGUUAACAAACUUAGUAAACGUUGCAGGUGCAAAGAAAAUGGCUCAGCUUCCGGUGGAAGUGAAGUUAGCCAAGAAAUUCCUACUGAAUUACAGCUUCCUUUCUCGGCCAUCAUUUCAACAAAACUUCAUGGAAACGUAUCAUAAGGGAGAAGUGGACUGGAUUGGGGGACCAAUGAGCACACCGAUUGUCGCACCCCCACUUCCGAAAGGCACUGGUACCUCUAGAAUGCUCUACAUUUGGUUGUCUGAUUUCCUGUUCAACACGAUGUCAUACAGCGCUUUUACUCACGACCUGUUGAAACACAAUGUCAGCGACAAAAACAUUCCUGGAGGAGUUCUUAACACUACAUGCAAAGUUAAGUGCAUUGGCCGCUUGAUUCCUCAGAUUGGUCAAAAGUUUCCUAAUUCCAAAGUUCUGUUGAACCUUCGAAGCACCUCCACACCAAACAUGACUUCGGUCAAUGGAUCAGUAAGAGUUGAUGCAGCGGGCGAUAUCAAAUUUUACGCCCAAACACCUACUGGCAAAACUGAAUACUUCCUGACACUGUCUGCUAGUAUGUCCACAACAAUUUCAAUCACAGUUAAGAACGAGAAAGUGUAUGCUAAAGUGCUCAAACUUCCGUGAGUUAUUUUUAUCCUUAAUCAAUAAAAUACCUUAAUUAUUCUUAAUUAUACAUGGAUGUAUGGUUGAAAUUGGCUGUCAUACAAAGACAGGACUGGUGACUUGGUUCCGUAGGUUGUGGAGUGGAGGAGUAGGUAUUACGAAAAGGGCACACACAUUAGCGCGCGCGCGCGUAUGUGUGUAAAGAAAACUUGCAAAGACUAUUAAAGUGAGGCUGAUGUAGAGUACGGGAACCGAUCUCUGGACAAGAAACUGGUGAAGAUGAUGAACAAUGUCUAUCACCAGCCUCCGGAAGCCGGACACAAACAUAAAAGCCGUAAAGAACUUAGAAUAAUUGCACGAUCACACGAAGAAUGUGACAGAAACACCACCUUUAAGGACAUUUUGAAAGCGACGACAUUCAACAAUUCACUCUCCAGGAUUUAAGUGCCACUAUGUAUGAUGUCAUAUGCGACCUCGAGUGAUAAGGUUUGAAAACAGCUGUUAGCCAUUUUAUAAGUACAAUAUCUUCGUAGUUUUUUGGUAAUCAGGUAUUCUAACAAUCUGUUGGAAUUCCCAUGGGCACGAAUUAUGCUCUUUUAAAAGCUGACCUGUUUAUGAUAUUCUUACGAGACGGAAUUCAUUGAAAAGCUUUUACAUGAGAAGAAAAAAUCUCUUACUAUGGCCUUCAACUCGACAUUUACAUGAAAAGGUGAAGAUAACGAACAGUGAUUCAUCUAAUAACUCUUAUAAGGAAUACAAAAUUAAGAGUUGGGCAAACACGAACCCCUAGAUAUACUAGAGGUGGGAUCAGGCAUGGAGGUUAUAAAACUUUUACCGUACUCAGCCAUGGUUGUUUUGAGUACAACUCUAAGCAAGCUCCAAAGUAUACUUGAAAACUCUUGAGUAUCUACUCCAUUUCAGUGUGAGAAUGAUUUUAUAAAAGUUUUAGAUAUAACCUUCACUUUUGAGUAUGAGUACGAUUUAGAGUACGGGGUUCGAGUAUGUAAACGUGCUAACAAGUUUUGUAACCUCCAGGCCAGGUGCCUAGGAGGAGUAAGCAUCCCUUGUCGACCGUUCACACCCGCCGUGAGCCCUACAUCUUGAUCAAAUAAACGGAGUAAUCUAUAGUUAAAAUCAGUGUGCCAAGAACGGCCCAACAAUCGGUAUGAAACACGCCAGACAGCAUUUGAUUCAAUGGCAGGUUGUAUUGGCAUACUAGAUUUUAAUUUUUUUCCAUUCAAUCGACAAACAAGCCAACUAGUACGUAAACGGCUUGUGAAUAGCAUAUUCUGUUAGGGUGGGUUGCGAUAUUUUGCCGCUUACGAGUGUACUAGCUGUCAGAAGAAGGGAUCUGGACUAAGUUUUACAGUUUUUCGGAAGGUGUGAGGAAAAAGAAUUGGUUUGGUUGGCUAUAUAUUGUUUUCACAAUCAGCUGAUUGAAGAAGGUCGUAUGUGACAUCAUUGUACCUCGUGGCUUUUACCUAAUAACCAAUUGUUGUUUCAAGUGGGGCUUAGAUUUAAAUCCGUAUUGUGAUGAAUUAUGGCAAUAUUUCGUAGAACCAAACAUUAGAACUAAUUACUGUAUGCAGAAGAAAGACAAAUUGAAUAUAAUUUUGUGUAGUUUUGAAGCAUGCGGUAACUCCUUUAUAAGGUCACCUAACAUUAUAUUACCUAAUAUUACGUAAUUAUAU